rnacentral:rRNA from 1 species
GGUAGAGUAGCAAUAGUCGAGAGUGGCGAACGGGUGAGUAAUAUAUCGGAACGUGCCCAAUCGUGGGGGAUAACGUAGAGAAAUUUACGCUAAUACCGCAUACGAUCUAAGGAUGAAAGCGGGGGAUCGCAAGACCUCGCGCGAUUGGAGCGGCUGAUAUCAGAUUAGGUUGUUGGUGAGGUAAAAGCUCACCAAGCCGACGAUCUGUAGCUGGUUUGAGAGAACGACCAGCCACACUGGGACUGAGACACGGCCCAGACUCCUACGGGAGGCAGCAGUGGGGAAUUUUGGACAAUGGGCGAAAGCCUGAUCCAGCAAUGCCGCGUGCAGGAAGAAGGCCUUCGGGUUGUAAACUGCUUUUGUACGGAACGAAACGGCUCUUUCUAAUAAAGAGGGCUAAUGACGGUACCGUAAGAAUAAGCACCGGCUAACUACGUGCCAGCAGCCGCGGUAAUACGUAGGGUGCGAGCGUUAAUCGGAAUUACUGGGCGUAAAGCGUGCGCAGGCGGUUAUAUAAGACAGUUGUGAAAUCCCCGGGCUCAACCUGGGAAUUGCAUCUGUGACUGCAUAGCUAGAGUACGGUAGAGGGGGAUGGAAUUCCGCGUGUAGCAGUGAAAUG